rnacentral:rRNA from 1 species
GCACGUACGCCAGUAUGUGUGGAGCCGUCCUUGAAAUACCACCCUUGUAGUGUUGAUGUUCUAACGUCGACCCCUUAUCGGGGUUGCGGACAGUGCCUGGUGGGUAGUUUGACUGGGGCGGUCUCCUCCCAAAGAGUAACGGAGGAGCACGAAGGUGGGCUAAUCACGGUUGGACAUCGUGAGGUUAGUGCAAUGGCAUAAGCCCGCUUGACUGCGAGAAUGACAAUUCGAGCAGGUGCGAAAGCAGGUCAUAGUGAUCCGGUGGUUCUGAAUGGAAGGGCCAUCGCUCAACGGAUAAAAGGUACUCCGGGGAUAACAGGCUGAUACCGCCCAAGAGUUCAUAUCGACGGCGGUGUUUGGCACCUCGAUGUCGGCUCAUCACAUCCUGGGGCUGAAGUCGGUCCCAAGGGUAUGGCUGUUCGCCAUUUAAAGUGGUACGCGAGCUGGGUUUAGAACGUCGUGAGACAGUUCGGUCCCUAUCUGCCGUGGGCGUUGGAAGAUUGAAGGGGGCUGCUCCUAGUACGAGAGGACCGGAGUGGACGAACCUCUGGUGUUCGGGUUGUGUCGCCAGACGCAUUGCCCGGUAGCUAAGUUCGGAAUCGAUAACCGCUGAAAGCAUCUAAGCGGGAAGCGAGCCCUGAGAUGAGUCUUCCCUGAUACUUUAAGUAUCCUAAAGGGUUGUCGGAGACUACGACGUUGAUAGGUCAGGUGUGUAAGUGCUGUGAGGCAUUGAGCUAACUGAUACUAAUUGCCCGUGAGGCUUAACCAUACA